UUUAAUAUGGCAGAAUAGUGCAUUAGAUUUAAGCUCUAAAUAAGAAGAAUUAACAACUUCUAUUAAAA
rnacentral:tRNA from 1 species